UUCUUGUUGGAAGGGAUUAUUGCCCGUCCCCGAGCAACCUCUGACCUGACAAACUCUGGGUCAAGCUUCUCACGGGCAGCACAAUAUAACAUUUCCUCGGUUAUUAUUCCUUGCUUCGCAUAGUACAUCUGAGUGUAUCUUGGUGCACCUAGCUUCUCACGCCUAUCAACCCAGUCUUUCCGCAGUUUAGGAAGUCCGAUACGGGGACUAAUGUUUUGAGGACCACUGGUAUCAUAAUUAUCAAAACUGGGUUCAUCCCCAGACAAGUGGACGCGUCUGAAAGGAACUUUGAGGACAUGACCAGAUUGUUCAUGAACAACUUCCCUGUAUUCUUUGGUGCUCUUUGGAAAACAUUGUUCGAAGGAGGGAAGAGGAAGGAAAUCAGGAGAAGAAGGAUCAACAGUAUGCUUCCUCUGCUUAGCUUUAUCUGAAUUGGCUGUUGGAGGAUCAAAGGUUAAGGUAGCCUUAGGACCAGAUGCGGCCAAAGAACGAGGCAAUAUUUCCUUCUUAAGAAACCCACGGCCAACCACCACAUCAAACCCAGGCAAGAAGGAGCUGCUCGGAAACUUUUGGCUUCCAUUUUUGCACGCAGCUGAGGCCAAACUAGUAGCUUGCACCGAUGCCAUUUCGUCAAAAAAUAAAUAAGAAUCUGGAAUUGCAAACGAAGUCGUUAUCUCUCGAGAAAUGAGAGAGAGGAGAUAAAAAGUGCACAGCUGAACACCUCCCAAGAUAAGCGAGGUCACGAGCGUUGCAUUGGCUUUGGUUUUAUCUAUAGGAGGUGCAGCUCUGUAGUCACUCAAACGCCUAA
rnacentral:misc_RNA from 1 species